GGAGAGAUGGCAGAGUGGUCGAAUGCGUGGGCUUGCUAAGCCUAUGAGGGGGUCUUACCCCCUCCAGGGGUUCGAAUCCCCUUUUCUCCG
rnacentral:tRNA from 1 species